rnacentral:rRNA from 1 species
UACGAGGGGAGCUAGCGUUGUUCGGAAUUACUGGGCGUAAAGGGCGUGUAGGCGGUAUCAUAAGUCAGAUGUGAAAGCCCUAGGCUUAACCUAGGAGGUGCAUUUGAUACUGUGGAACUAGAGAUCGAGAGAGGAAAGUGGAAUUACGAGUGUAGAGGUGAAAUUCGUAGAUAUUCGUAAGAACACCAGUGGCGAAGGCGGCACUCUGGGCCGGUACUGACGCUGAGGAGCGAAAGCGUGGGGAGCGAACAGG